rnacentral:rRNA from 1 species
UACGUAGGGUGCGAGCGUUAAUCGGAAUUACUGGGCGUAAAGCGUGCGCAGGCGGUUUUGUAAGCCAGAUGUGAAAUCCCCGGGCUUAACCUGGGAAUGGCAUUUGGGACUGCAAGGCUGGAGUGCGGCAGAGGAGACUGGAAUUCCCGGUGUAGCGGUGAAAUGCGUAGAUAUCGGGAGGAAUACCGAUGGCGAAGGCAGGUCUCUGGGCUGACACUGACGCUCAUGCACGAAAGCGUGGGGAGCAAACAGG